rnacentral:rRNA from 1 species
ACCUGCGGAGGGAUCAUUACACAAAUUAAAAUAUGGAGGCUUCGGCUGGAUUAUUUUUAUCACCCUUGUCUUUUGCGCACUUGUUGUUUCCUGGGCGGGUUCGCCCGCCACCAGGACCACACCAUAAACCUUUUUUAUGCAGUUGCAAUCAGCGUCAGUAUAACAAAUGUAAAUCAUUUACAACUUUCAACAACGGAUCUCUUGGUUCUGGCAUCGAUGAAGAACGCAGCGAAAUGCGAUACGUAGUGUGAAUUGCAGAAUUCAGUGAAUCAUCGAAUCUUUGAACGCACAUUGCGCCCUUUGGUAUUCCAAAGGGCAUGCCUGUUCGAGCGUCAUUUGUACCCUCAAGCUUUGCUUGGUGUUGGGCGUCUUUUGUCUUUGGCCUCGCCCAAAGACUCGCCUUAAAACGAUUGGCAGCCGGCCUACUGGUUUCGCAGCGCAGCACAUUUUUGCGCUUGCAAUCAGCAAAAAGGACGGCAAUCCAUCAAGACUACAUUUUUACGUUUGACCUCGGAUCAGGUAGGGAUACCCGCUGAACUUAAGCAUAUCAA